UAUUUCAAUGCUCCUUAUACCACAACAACAACAAUAACCCCCCCCAAUCGUCACCAAUGUCUAGGAACUUAAUGGCUGGGCCGGUCAUAUGGAUUUAGGAAGCAAUCGGAGAUGGAGAGCAUCAACAUUUUCUAAAACAUGACAGAUUGAAGUUAACUCAAUGUAUAAAGAAACCGUUGGUGAAGUGCAGUUGGGGGGAGGGGAAAUGGCAGCAACCUCACUGGUCAGCCCUUUGGUUCAGCAUGCCAGUCCGGUGAGAAGCAGCCUCCACCACGCUGGUUAGCCUCAAAUCAACUGGAGAUUUUUGGUCCGAUUUAAACUAUUACUGGUGAAUUGAGAUACACCGAUGCCAUGAAACUGCUGUAUACCUUAGAGGACGCAACCAAAGGUGUAUCCAUCGCCUAGUGAGCAGUCAACAGCUGACGAUGCUCAAAAGCAAAAGCUGGAUGAUGCCGACAAAAAAAUUACUAUUUUCUUAUUCCAUAAUUCUAUUCCUUUUAGUGCUGCUAAAUCCAUGUAUUUGCAUGUUGAAUUUUAUAUAAGCAAAUUAAGUGAUCAGUU